rnacentral:pre_miRNA from 1 species
CCAUGCAUUACUGGGUGGGCCUCCUUUGGCAGUGACCUGGCUGAUGGGCUACGUUCUAACGCGCAGAGACACGUACUGCCAAAGGAGACUUGCCCAGCAAUGCAGCU